rnacentral:lncRNA from 1 species
AGAACAUUUCACUACUGAUUGUGGUCUUCUGUUUUGCAGAAUAACAGCUAUCCACCAAUGUCAGAUCCAUAUAUGCCUAGUUACUAUGCUCCAUCCAUUGGAUUUCCAUAUUCUCUUGGGGAAGCAGCAUGGUCCACGGCUGGAGAUCAGCCCAUGCCAUAUCUGACAACCUAUGGACAAAUGAGUAAUGGAGAACAUCAUUACAUACCAGAUGGUGUUUUUAGUCAACCAGGGGCAUUAGGAAAUACCCCUCCAUUUCUUGGUCAACAUGGAUUUAACUUUUUUCCUGGUAAUGCUGAUUUCUCUACAUGGGGAACAAGUGGAUCUCAGGGACAAUCAACACAAAAUUCUGCUUAUAGUAGCAGUUACGGCUAUCCACCUAGUUCUCUUGGGAGAGCUAUUACUGAUGGACAGGCCGGAUUUGGCAAUGAUACUUU